AUGAUGAUUUAAUACCAUACGAAAGGUUUUGAAAGUGAAUACGGUAUUAAGUUUAAGUAUUGGACAUUCUUCUCUUUCUCAUUGUUGCUGCGCAGACUGUAAAGAAGAAAGCAUAUAGAAUCUCAAAAUCCAAGCUCAUCAGGUACUCUUUUGCCUAGUCGUCAUCGACCCAUUUUAGCUAACUAUGUUAUCUUUAGAACCCGGAAGAUAAGUUUUGAUUUUUAUUGUUUUACUUGCUUGUAUUUAGUUUUUCCCUUGUUUUUUAUUUUGGAGAAUUUGUGAAAGUUCUGUACCUUGCAGAUAAAAAUCAACUACUUUAUGCGUUUGAAAGAGUGGUUUCUUUUAUUAUGCAGAUAGAUUGAUUGGUUUCUUUUAGGAUGAAAACUUGAGGAAAGGCUAAUGGGUUAGUUGGAAGAUCAAGAUUCCGUUUUUAACAAGUUUGUUGAGUGUGAUUCUUGAGUAAUGCCUGAAAUAUAUGAUAAUGAAAUACUGUACUGUGAGUAGAAAUAUAGCUAUGUGUUCUGAUUUUUCAUUGAUUCUGUUGGUAUUUCGAGCGGAAGUGUUUGAAAGUUGAAAUCUUUUUCAAGAACUUUUAGUGUUUAAGGACAGAGAAUUGGGUAUAUCAUUUCAUUUUCAAGAUGAUUUUUCUCUUCAUAUGUUGUGGAAAUUAAGUCUGUCUUGUUAACGGGGUGGAGUUGAGCAUUGAGAACCUGUCAGUGAAGCGAUUACUUACUGAUAUACCAAGAAGCUAAGAUUCAUUAACCUUGGGGCAUAUCAGUUGCCUGCUGCUUACCUUUUUCUCUGGGAAAGCAACUUUUGUUGGUCUUGCUUUUGAUACAUUUGGGAUUGGCUGUUGUUGAGUUACUGUUGAAUUUUGUAGACCCACCAGAGUUUAUCUCCCUAACCUUUAUCAAUGUCAGAAAAGAGCAUAUUUCCCUCAAGGUUUCUGUUCUACUUAAUAACUAUUUUAAUGUUCCUUUUGAUCCUUUCUUCUGUGUUCCUUCUUGAAUCCAGUAGCAGUUCUUUUAUACCAAGAUCAGUAUUCAAGCUUAUUCUGCUGAAUCACACAUCAGUUUACUUAAAACCCAAUAUCAAGAGUGAACAAUAUGAACUGCCUUUUCUUUCAUCUGCUGCAAAAACUCCUUUGAAUAGUGGAGAGGUGGCAUGUCACAUUUCCAGUUCUGAGAAGGAAAAGAUUGGUUCUUUUGGACAACAGAAAGGAAAAAAUUGCGACCCAAGUCAGGCUCUUUUAAGGGUGUACAUGUACGACUUACCUCCUGAAUUUCACUUUGGAUUAUUGGGUUGGAAGGGAAAGGCAAAUGAGACAUGGCCCGAUGUUAGCUUGCGAAGCCAAAUUCCGCCAUACCCAGGUGGCUUGAAUUUACAGCACAGUAUGGAGUAUUGGCUCACUCUUGAUCUUCUAUUAUCAAAUACAGCAAAUUUGGAAAGACCCUGUUCUGCAAUUAGAGUCAAGAAUUCAAGUCAAGCAGAUGUAAUAUUUGUGCCUUUCUUCUCGUCUUUGAGCUACAACCGCCACUCUAAGAUUCAUGGAAAGGAGAAGAUUAGUGUUAAUGAGAUGUUGCAAAAGAAAUUGGUUCAGUUUUUGAAAGAUCAGGAUGAAUGGAAAAGAUUGGGUGGGCACGAUCACAUAGUAGUGGCUCACCAUCCAAAUGGCAUGGUAGAUGCAAGAAAGAAGUUGGGUUCUGCCAUGUUUGUGCUUGCAGAUUUUGGAAGAUACCCCAUGGAAAUAGCAAAUAUUGAGAAGGAUAUUAUCGCACCUUACAUGCAUCUUGUGAGGGCCAUUCCCAGUAGUGAAUCUUUGCCAUUUGAAAAACGUCCUACAUUAGUUUAUUUUCAAGGAGCAAUAUACAGAAAAGAUGGAGGAGUCAUUCGCCAGGAACUAUAUUACCUUCUGAAAGAUGAAAAAGAUGUACACUUUGCAUUUGGAAGCAUUCGAGGAGAUGGGGUUAAAAACGCAGGCCAAGGGAUGGCCUCAUCUAAAUUUUGCCUCAAUAUAGCAGGUGAUACCCCUUCCUCAAAUCGCCUUUUUGAUGCAAUUGCGAGCCACUGCGUUCCUGUGAUAAUAAGUGAUGAGAUUGAGUUACCAUAUGAAGAUGUCUUAGACUACUCAGAGUUUUGCAUAACUGUUAAUUCCUCCAAUGCUAUCAGGGAAGGAUUUCUACUAAAUCUUCUCAGGGGUGUCAAGCAAGACAAGUGGACCAAGAUGUGGGAAAGGUUAAAGGAAAUUGUACACUACUUUGAAUAUCAAUAUCCAUCCCAGCCUGGCGAUGCUGUAGAUAUGAUUUGGCAGGCGGUUUCACGCAAGGCAUCUUCUAUACGAUUUAAAAUUCACAGGCAGAAGAGAUACAAUAGAUCUCAGCUUAUGGUAAAUAACGAUCUGAACGAAGAAUCUUACUGAAGAUUGAUAUAUUUCUUGACUUGACAUCACUUGUCUGAGUUGUGGGAUAUUGAAAGAGAGACAUCGAUUUAUCGAAAUCUAAAGGAUGCUGGCUUACAG